CCUAAAACCAGAUUCACAACAUAUUUUAUUAUUUGGUAUACAGAAGACACGCAGAUUACACACUUUUCCUACCAUCUUUAACCUCCUAAACUAAUAAUUCAUUCAAAUAAGUACUGGAAACCCUAGUAAAUGUUUUGUAUUUGUGGGUUAGUAAAUGUUUUUUGACUUGCUAAUUCAUGUUAAUAACUAAGUGGAAAAACCAAGGGC
rnacentral:lncRNA from 1 species